GAUGUACUCCUUCCGUUCCAUAAUUGUUGUCAAAAUAUUACAUGUAUCUAGACGCUUUUCAAGAAUAGAUAUAUUCAUUUUUAGGCAAAUUUGAGACAAGAAUUAUGGGACGGAGGUAGUACUUC
rnacentral:pre_miRNA from 1 species